rnacentral:rRNA from 1 species
UCUCAGUACAAGCCAAAUUAAGGUGAAACCGCGAAAGGCUCAUUAAAUCAGUUAUGGUUCCUUAGAUCGUACCCACAAUUACUUGGAUAACUGUGGUAAUUCUAGAGCUAAUACAUGCAAACAGAGCUCCGCCCGGAGACGGAAGGAGUGCUUUUAUUAGAUCAAAACCAAUCGGUGGCGAGUUCGCU